CUCUGUAAAUUGCCCCUAGUGUGUGGGCUGUGGACACAAAAGUGGCAUAAUAUAGAACUAAUGUGAAUGGUGGUGAGAGUGGACUUGGAGGGCCGAUGGGCCUGUUUCCAUGCCGUGUCCCUACACUAAACAAAAUGGAGAUAGAUCAAACAAUGCAAAGUGUUCGCAAGCUGUUUGCUUACGAUCUCCCCAUGCUGGAAGAAACUUCUCAAUGGCACAGAGGUUUUGAUAGAUUUGAUACUCAGUGCAUCUUCUAACAAAUCUCUAAAACAGCAUCGUUUUUAAAUUGUGUUCUUCUGGCAUUUUGGAAAUUGGUGGUCAAUACAGCAAUGGCUGCAUCUACCACAGAGCCACGUGGGGAUUGCCAUGUACACCAGGACAGUUCCAUUUUACUAUUAAAGUUCAUCUUCUGUAGCGUUGACUGAGGCAUGCUAUCCAAGAAAUAGUAAGAGUCAUACAGCACAGAAAUAGGCCCACCGGCCAAACUCGUCCAUACUGACCAAGAUAGCCCAUCUAAGCCAGUCCCAUUUACCUGCAUUUGGCCCAGAUGCGUCUAAAUGUUUCCUAUCCAUAUCUAAAUGUUUUUUUAAACGCUGUUAUUGUACCUGCCUCAACUGCUUCCACUGGAAGCUUGUUCCAUAUACCCACCACCCUUUAAGUGAAAAAGUUGCCCCCAAGGUUCUUAUUCAAUAUUUCCUCUUAAUGUACUCACCCUAUUCUUUUCAUGAUUUAAUAUAUCUCUAUAAGGUCAGGUUGCAAGUGGCACUGUUGUAUUUUCCCAUUGAGGUGCCCAAUGACUUAAGAUGAACACUAAAUGGGAUAGAUGUCUGGAUGAACAUUGAUAGCAUUGAGGAUUGUCAGAUUCAAACUUUGUGCUCAUUUGUAACUGGAUGCCUACAGAACAAGAAACCUAGGUAACUCUGUAGCUUUGCAAUGCUGCAAAACUUGCUUAAGCAGAUCUUUUAAGUUUGUGAGGCAGUAUUCCGUAUCUUCCAAAGUUAAGGUUGAGGGGAAAUUUGACAGGUUCUGAUCACUUUACUUCAAGUUCAGUAUUCGUUUAUGUCCUCCUGAGGAAUAACUGCUGUUCCCCUUUAAGUGUGUGUUACUGAGGAAAGCAUCGGAGAAAUAACGUAAAAUCCUCAGGAUGUUUUAAAUGCAUAUCACAGACAUUUGAAUGCCUGUCAUAGCCGUGGAUUCCAUUCUCAAUGGUGAUUCACAAGCAUUCCUGCUUCAUAUGAAGUAGUUUAGUAAAAAAUAUUAUCACCAUGGGCUCACAAAAUUACCAUAGAAUCUGGAAACAAGCUGGUCUAGUCCCAGUCUAUAAUGAUGCUGGUUGCUAAGCUAAUAACAGCCUAGAUCUGUCCUUCUGUGUUGCUGCUAGGAUAAUGGCUUCAGUAUUUAACCUGCAUAAACUAAUUUAUUGUUAUGCCACGACACUGGGAAAAAAGUAUAAUAUUCAGUGAUAGGACUUCUUAAGUGUUAUUUUGAUUACCAGAGUCAGUAUUCAAGAUCGUCUGCCCUUUAGAUUGAUGCUGCACGAUUAACACUUCAACUAAUUUCAAUCAUGUAGGUAAAGUAUUACGAUGGUCCUUAUUAAUUUCUGACACUUAUUACAUUUCUAGACUGUCUCAGCUUAGUCUCCAUUUUGCCGUGGGUUAUUCUGGUUCAUUCAUAGCGCUGAAUGUUGCCUUCAUCAUGUUGUAAUUAAUGCUUUAGCAUUUAAACAUUGACCAACUUAUACAAUGACAGAAAAUGCUGGAUCAGGAUCAGGGAGCACUGGGAGAGAGAAAGAGUGAAUGUUUCAGAUAGAUUACUUUUCAUUUGAACAAGGAAAAGUUUGGAAACAACCAUUUUCCAGUUGCGGAGAGGAGGGUUUCUGACUUCCUAUUUCUGAUGAAAGGUCAUUGGACUAAAUCAUUAUUUCUCUCUCCACAGCUGCUCCCUGACCUAUCGAGCAGUUCCAGCAUUGUUCAGAAAUCCACAUCUGCAAAUUUUUGGCUUUUCAGACAUUUAUUUUGCCGUUAUUAUAACAUGGCAUUUUAUUGUAUGCAGUCUUAAAGAGGCUUCUAACUCAUUUUUGUAAUGGAUUUAAAUCCUUAUGAUGACACAAAACAUAACACACAAAUAUUAAUAAUUAUACUUUCUAUCUACAGGGACGCUAAGUUUUGAUCACUAAUUGACGGGUAAAGAAAAUUAAAGUUUUAAACAGAAUCAUACACAUCAAUCAUAUACUUGGUAAAAGAGGAUGGGUGAUCAGUAAUGUAUGAUAUUGCAGUUCACAAGAUAUGAAUUCACUUGUGGAUUUUAAUAAAAAUGACAUUUUGUAAUUUUUUAGGAUUAAUAGCCUAACAUUUAGGAUUAAUAGCCUAUCAGCAAUAAUGCCCAGGAUUAAAGUAUAACAGGAAUCAACAUUUAUUCUCAAGGCAUGCUUCACCACCAUAAAUGUUACCACGGGGACAAGGUUAAGAUCAGAGUUAAAUCUAAUUGUAUACAAAUAUUCAUAUCAGCUCUUUCAAUUAAAACUCGAACAUUUAAAUGCAUCAAACUAACAUAGGAUUACUGCAUUAUUUAGUGUGAUAAGAUCAUUUGUACUAACAUCAUUUGUAAUAGAGUACUAACUCUAAAUCCAGAAGAUGACUACAGUCAAUAUUUUUACUGCAAAUGAUACCUUCAAUCUGACAGAUUUAUCAACAAGAACAACAAUAAACUGCUAAAUGUCACCUAUGAUACAGCGAUUCAGAUCCAAUAGGAGAUAAUUUUGUGAUCAAGACCUAUAGGGUUCUGGCAUCUGGAUUAAAACAAUGGCAAAUUUUAAAUUAAUUAUUAAUUUUAUAGAACCGCUUGGAUUAAAAAUAAUUGAUGUCACUAAAUUAAUUAAUAAUCCAUCUUGGUCAACAAGUAUAUUCAAUCUUUGUUUGCCAACCAUUCCGUGGAUUCGGUACAUCAAAUGGUCGAUGAUCUGAAUGGUUGUCUUUUGAAGAAUUAUCUUGAUUGGAUCAGAAAUAUCAGUUGUCUAUAUGUGUGUCAGCUGCAAUGUUGUGUCCCAAUGAGCUUCUUCAAAAUAGGCAAGGACAAAACCAACAUCUGUUUUAUGCUUAGGUAAAGAAGUUGUUUUGUAAAAUUAUUUCUGGAUUAACCACUCAACUGUUUUUUUCAAUGUUUAGAAAUACACAAACUUCCAGGCAGCAUACAAUGUAAGAAGGGCAAAAUAUGUUUUUUAUUUAAAGCACUAAUAAUUUAUACAUCUCUAUAAGAUCAAAAUUUGCCCCAAAAAAACCAAACAGCUGGAGGAGCUCUGUGGGUCAGGCACCAUCUGUGGAGGCACAGGGAAGGCCAACUUCUCAGGCUAUCCCACUGCCUCCAAGAUGCGGCCUACCCACUGAAUUCCUCCUGCAGUUUUUUUUUUUCUUAAGAAAUUGUAUUUUUAUAAUCUACUUCACGUCCUGGCAUGCCAUAGUGCUUUGCAGUCACUUAACUAUUACUAAACUAAAUCACAAUUGUAUUAUAUGCUAAAACAUGAAAUGUAUAUGAAGAUCCCAUAUGUAACUGCGGGAUGAAUGACCAGUUCAUUCAUUUUUAGUAGCAUUGACUGAGGGAAGAAUGUGGAUCAAUACACCAAGUAGCAACAAUUCCUUUCUUUAAAUACUAUGAUGAGAUCUUUUCCAUGAGCUGACAGAUAGGACAGGACUUUGGUUCAACAGCACCUCAGAUAAUGCACUUAACAUAUGUAAUCCUGUUUUCCCCACAGUGAAAUUUCACUCAGAGUUACCACUGAGCCAAGUAAAUAAUAUUAAUUGCACUGAUAUAGAUAAGUAUUUAAAAAAUGGGUAUGUCAUAAUGCACGACAGCCAAUUUCAAGCACCAAUUUGUUAAGUGUUGAAGCUUGUACGAUUGAUUAUGUAUUUUUAAGGAUUCCUCGGAGUGAAACAAGAGCACCCUCUGGUGUCUUGUAUUCAUUUUGCAGGCACACAUUUGAAAUAUAUUUAACCAUCCUUUUUGGUUGAAUUCUCACACCUUUUGCAAAUAUGAUAUUUCCUACUGGAAGUAUCUUUUAUUCCCUGUUUUAGUCAUAUAUAUUUCCUAACACGGAAAAUAACAACUUGAAUUUGUUGAGCAAUUAAAUUGCUGGAGCAAUUAAAAUUAAACUUCAGAUUUUCCCAUACCCUGCAUCUUCCCUUCUUUAUUUUGUUGUUAAAAGAUAAUUUCCAGGAACAUUGUAUUCCACUAUUAGACAUCCUAUACUAUUCAGAACCAUGAAAUCUUUUAGCUUAAUAGACAGUUUAGUUUUUUUUCUGUCCAUAAAAGUCCCUCAUUGUAAAGAACACAAAAUACCAGCUGUUGUGAUGCUUGGCUAUUGAAUUGAAAGUGUAUAAUUUUAAAGAUGAAGGAAGAAUCAGUUAGUUAAAGCGGAAACAGAUCCGUUCAUGUGCAGUUAAUUGAUUUCAUAUGGGUUUGGUAGGUUUGGUAAAACUUGUCUGAAGGCAUGGGUAUCAAGGACAGCAAGGCAUAAACCAAGGUUAUUUUUCUACUUGUUAACCAUGUUAUAGUAUUAGCAAAUAUGGAUAAAGCUGAGAAAGUAAACUCAACAGGUUGUAGCUGUAACAAAGUGAAAAAAGAUGGAGUUAAAUUAGGAGGUGAAAAACAAGUUUAAAACAGCAACAUUUCAGUUAAAUGAAAAUAGCAAUGUAAUCUAAAAUAAGACUGGUGGCAUGUAAUUAUAUUUUAUUUUGAUUGGAUUGUUAUUUUUGAAAAACUUGAAUAUACUGGGAAGAUUACAGAAGGCUGUGACUUUACUUUUCUGCUGGGUUCAAUUCUCAAAAAUGUUCAGCAUUCAACUUUGAGUUCAAAUGUGACCCUUUUCAUGGAAAGGGAAAGUUGUGAACAAUUACAAAACUACUGUGCACUUCAACUAUUAUUCAACCAACGGCUUUGUGCACUUUAUAAAUAUACUCCAUGAUUACACUUUGAUGUUGAUAGUGAAAUUUAGGGAACAGUGCAAAAUGAUUUUAGCUUCCUAAACUGUUAUCCCAUUUUUUUGCUUUUUUAUAACCCACUUCAAAUUUCCCUUUCUCAAGAAUAUCUGGACCUUGAGUCUGAAAUAAAAGCAUUUAAAUCAAUAAAUACAUAUGCCUCCCCGUAUGUCCAUGCUAGGAUGGAUGAAAUGGAUAUUUCCUACAAUUAUAAGAAAUGUGUUUCCUUUUUUAACACUAACUCGGUCCAUUCUGCUCUUCCCCUGCCGUCUCAACCCCCCUGAAGACUUGGAUCUUUAAACUCUUACACAUCAUAGUCAGUUCUGUCACAAUAGGCAGUUCAAAUAGUUAGAUGUAUCUGGGUGAUUUGUAUCAGCCCCAUUACAGUAUUAGUGAAUGUGUGGCACAAAUGUCCUACUUUGUACAUAAUUUAAACUAAUUUCCAUGUCAACCUCUCCGGGCUACUGUUUCCAUGAGGCACAUAAUUACCAAACAUUCUUCACAGCUCAAAUUUUUGAUGAAUCAACUGAGCAUCUUAAUUGUUGCAAGUAAGAAAUCAGAAAUGCUUUUGAGGAUACCCAGGCCCCCCUAUCUGUAGAUCAUAUGUAAACUUGUUCACAGGAUCAAACUGAUUGCAGUUGCUGCCCUUAUUCUACAUAGCACAUUGUUGUAGUCACGUAUUACAGGGUUUACUUUGCACCUUGCCUAUGGCACCAGGCUCAUUUUGAUACAAUUGCCCUCUUCAAAAAUGAACUCUAUUAAUUUGUGAAUUACUUAUUGGUUUUCACAGAUAAAACAAGUUUUAAGUAAUCUUUGUGGGCAGAAGCUUGUAAUUGAAAACAUACAUCUUCCAGUAAGUGCCUCCUUUGCUCACUUGACAGUGUGCCUAGUUCAACCUCUGCAUUCAUACACUGUAAUCUUUUACCCAUCGACCAUGAUGAUUGUCAGUUUGUUAACUGGCAGUUGUUUCCUUUCAUGUUUAGAUCAGUUCUUGCAGUCCAAGUAGAUUUAUGUAAAUAAUUCUUCAUAGAAAUAGACAUGGUAUUUGCUGGCAGGAAUCCAUUUAAAACCUUUGAUCCAUUUUAAUGAGCAAAGUGGGGACAACUGGACAGACUUUACAUCUUGUCUGUGCCCUAUCUGAUCACAAAUCCACAGUAGGAAAUCUUGGACCAGGUUAAUUGCUCAAGCUACUAUUUCAUUGACUCCUAAGCACUUCAGGAUAUACUGAGAUUGUGAAGGACUAUCUCCAAUGUCUUGUUUUGAGAUCUACAGCUCAGUGGUUAGAAGGUAGAAUUCCUAUUUCUCAAAAGGUGGGUUUAAAGUUUUUAAACCAAGAAUGUAAUUUAUUUAAGAGACGUCUACUAUCAUUUCUUAGAAUAGGUUUCUGUAUUAUUACUGCCUUGAUUAAUAGUAAUGAGGAAUGACAGUGCAGUCCACAAAUGCUAAAUGUUCAAGUUACUGAUAAAAUGAUUACUUUUCAAAUGCAUAAGCAAGUUAUAUCUACAACUAAAAGUUAUGGCUGGGAUUUUAAAAUAAAUAAAUUAAAGCAUUAAUACUUAAUCACUAAGUAUUAAUGAUCAUUAAAAUGACCAUUAAUACUGAGUGAUCAUACUAACACUGAUCUACCCAUGAUCUAUCAGUAUUAAUACAAAAUACACUUGACUAGGAAUUGUGUUCUUUACUCAAACUCAUUGAACUAGUCAUAAGAAACUAGUUUUAAUUCUGUGGCCCCCAAAGUAAAAUUUCUCCAAUAAAGUAGAUAGUGACAAUCAUUUUUAGUACUCUGCCAAUGCAGAUUAUCAAAACAAAUUGUACCUAGUGGGAUGAUUAAAUGUAAUGCUAAACGCUUAAACUUUUUCAUAUAGUUUAAAUUGACUCAUCAUAUUUUGUUCCCUGGUAUAUAUUUAGUUUUAUUUUAGUUUAGGUGAGAUUUGUACAAAUAAUCGCUGUAACCAUUUCUUUGCUCAUCUAAUUGAGAUGGAUGACAGUAAGAUUACACAAUGACACACCCACAUGGAAAUUUGACAAUUUAUUGGACCAACAUGGAGAUUUGACAUUCAAAACAAAUUCAGAAAAAUCUGACUUGGCGUGUUUGAACCUUGAACCAUUAAAAAAAAUUGCACUAUUUGUCAAUAGAAAAGGUACAGUAUUAUUCUUUUCAUUCUGCCAGAUUUCAAUAGAACUCCUUGUCCUGUGAGCAGUGUGUUGCACUUAACUUUGUAUCCUAUUUCAUUGUCUGGUUAUUUAAAAGACAAACCUGGGUUGCUCCCAGCUAGUAAUUUCUGUGAAAGACUUCAGUUACGUGUAUAACAAACGCAGGUUUUAAUUCAAUAGUUUGCAAGAUAAAUAUGUAUAUACAUAUCCAAAAUGUCAAUGCGACCCACAUCAUGUUCUCGAUCUGAAGGAGUGAUACUUCAUCACUCACCAGCUUGCCAGUGUAAAUGUCAUAUUCUAGGGUCUAUAAAGAUGGUCCAUAUACAUUAAUUAUUGUAAAUAAUUUUUAAAGCACUUUUUAAAAAUAAAUUACUUUUUGUACUCCAGUAUGUUUAAUGUAUAAAACUAGAUCAGUUGCAUACUUAAGAGAAUUAUACAAAGUACGUAAUUACACUGCCCACAGCACAAUACUAUAUGCCCUGUUAGACCUCCUCAUUAACUGGAUUAGACCAGCUUCUCAGUGCAGCUUGAAGCAAAACAGAAAAUGUAUAAAUGUGGCUUCUGUGAAAGUGUCUAGGGGAGCAUCGCUUUUUUUUUCUGUACAGUUUACAAGCAUUACAUGUAAUUUUGCUGCGAGUUACUUCUAAGUAACUUUUUGAGAUACUGUACACUGUAAUAUCAUUACUGUUAAAAUUAAUUUUUAUGCACUGUAUUUAAGUAACUUUUCACAUGUUCCUUUAUCUAGUUUUAAGGAAAUACAGGACAUCUUGAAUCUGUAACUAAACGUAGAUUCUACAAAAACACUAAUUAUAGAUUUAAUAGUAUCUGUUAGACUAAUGUAGCAAAACAUGCUUGAAAACAUUUUUCAGUUAAGCUUGUACUAAAAUUCAGCAAUGCCAACUA